rnacentral:rRNA from 1 species
UGCCCUUUAAUUAGAGGCUGGUAUGAAUGGUUUGACGAGGGUUGAGCUGUCUCUUUUGGAAUAUUUAAAAAUUAACUUCUAGGUGAAAAGGCCUAGAUUGAGCUGAGGGACGAGAAGACCCUGUUGAGCUUUAGUGUUGGGUAGAGAGUGGCAUUUCUAUUAUUAAUAGAAAGUUUAGAUUUACUUUUACAUCUUUAGUUGGGGUGACUAGGGAACAUGGAUAGCUUCUCUGUUGUUUGUUUAACUUAAUUUGGUGGACUGACUGGUGAUCCAGCAUUGUUGAUUAUCGGAAAAAGUUACCACAGGGAUAACAGCGUAAUCUUUCUGGAGAGUUCACAUUGAAAGAAGGGUUUGCGACCUCGAUGUUGGAUUAAGGUGUCCUGAGGGUGUAGCAGCUUUCGUUGGUUGGUCUGUUCGACCAUUAA